UGGAAAAUGGUUUAAUGACAUUUACAACAAAAGAGAACUGUACAGUUACAGUAAAAGAUUCAUCUUUAUAUACAUAUAAAAAACUAAAACAAAAAUACAGCAGACAAAUGCAUCAAAUCUACCAUGUAUCCUGAUUCACAUACUUAAUGUUCUACACAAUCUUUAUAGUUCUAUAUGCUGCCAACCGCCAUGUCUGGGGGGGUUCUUAGUUGGAUAUGAGGCAUGUGUCCCCGUGGCAACAGUGAGCAGUGUUCUAGUCCAUGAUGUAACAGUGGAACCGCGAGUCACAACGGCAGCAUGGCUCCCAGAGUUCUAGAGUGACAGAUGGUGUACUCAGAGGAAAAACUAGUCAGAAGAUAAAAGGGGCACAUUCCUUUAGUUUAGCCCAAGCUUGGUUUACAGAGGGAGAAUUAUCAAUGAUUUUACAGAAUGCAUUUCUCAAAAAUCCACAAACAGAAGUAAUAUUUACAAGUUGACCUUUUGUUUUUAUUGUAUUUUUCUGCUAGUUUUCUUUUUUAAACCAUUGACACUUGGGCCGUGUUAACUGAUAUAUUCACACACACAGAAUUUUUUUACACACCCCAAAACAUACAAAAAUACUAUAUCUUUAAUCUACCAAGAGUAAGACAAUUCUGCAAUUAGUUCCAUGCUGUGACAGAAAAAGAUCGAUACACCAAACAGACAAGAUUGUUGUUUUAAAACAACAUACUUUUUUUCCCCAUUUAGAUUUCUCAGAAAUAUACCAAAAUAUACAUCUAAGCUUUGGAAUUACUGGGGCUAGGGCUAAAGCCAGUGCUGGGUUUAUCUCUUAAUACACAAGCUGCAGGGUGAGAGAAAGAGGAAGAGGGAGAGAGAGAGAAAGAGAGAGUGACAGGACAGAGAGAGUUAUCUUUGGUAUCUGCGUUUGUCAAACAUUAUUUGGAUAUUUUUUGCUUUGGGAUAGCGCUUGUGAGAUCCUACAACUCCCCCACUUGGAAUAAAGCAUCAUAUAACGUUUCCCUGGGACUCCAUUGACCAAAGAGCUUAGCCAAUCAGGCCAUGUGUAGUGAAGGACCAUGAUGCAUAGUGUCACAGCAGGAGAAAGAAGCAAGAGAGAGACACAGAGAAAGAAAGAAAACAGUGGUGAGACAGAGAGAAAGAACCAGAGAAUUUGUAUCCUAGAGACAAUGUAUCCUGGCAACUACAAUACACAGAUAGGGAGCCAGACAGAUGGACAGAAAAAGUGACUCCUGAGCCUUUACAGCGUGCACAGGAUGCACCCUCAAUGUGUAUUAACAAACAUCACCCAGCCAUCACGGGAUUGGAUAAUUGAUCUGUCUAUCAGAGAACCUCACUUUGCCCCUCGAAACUCUACCUAUCCUCCCCCACAGGCCCUGCUACAGGUGCCUGUUGUGUCCGCAGCGCGCACGCACACACAGCUCUGCCAUACAGGCGUAUCGACAUUACAGGUGCUCAGGGAAGAGCGUGUGUGAGCACAGCUGCAUGUCUUUUCUCGUGGGAUGAUGAGGCGGAGGGGUGAGAGAUGGUCUAGUCCAUAUACAAUCACUUUGGAAGUCUUUGGUUAACAUUACCACAGGAAAGAGAGUGCAGCGAGGCAGUGCACCACCAGGUGAGUAGACACACCAACAUCUACAUUUACAAUCUAAAUAAGAAUAUAAAAAAGGACAGGAUUGUCAAAUCAUAGAAAACAUAAUAAGAUUGGGAUAAAUCAAGUACAUACUACUAAAAAGUGAAAUGUGAGUAUACUUUCAGCAUUAUAAUAGGAGGUGGAGGUGUGAGAGGUCACUGUGUGUUUAGCGUGAGCGAUGAUGAUGUUGUUCUUGUAAAAAAUAAAGAGAAGCAGACAUUCUUAAGUGCUGGAGUAUGUCCUGUCUCCCCCCGGUGGCAGCAGCUGUCAUGACACUCUGUACUCUUAAAACAGACAUUUGUGAGCUUCUCUGAUAGGACCAUGUGUUUUUGGUGUUGUUUAUGUUUUUGUUUUUUUCUUAAGUUUAAUAUUUUUCUUUACUAAAGUAGAUUUAAAGCAAGUUUCACUCAGUCUUGAGCUAAAAAUGAGGUAUACAGCAGCUCCCUUAACCAAGCUAGUUACCCCAGACUUCCUGGUGUCUCGCUGCCCUCUCCCUUUACUAAACCUUUACACCCACCACACAGAACCACUUCUAGAGCAUCAGACAAACCUGAGAGACAUCCAGAUCCACAACGGCACCAAACACAAUAAAACUGUAUCAAAGAGGAUCCACUCUAACGCACAAAGAUCCUGUAUGUUUGAAGGAUCCACUGACUGAGCCAUCACAACAGGUUAUAAUUAAAUAUAGCAAACCAUAGGAUUCACUGGUGCACCAUCGCAUACCAACAAAGAGGCAAUGGAUCACUGACACACUCAGCUACUGUUCCAUAUUCUCAUUCCCAUCUUCCUUGAAUGCUCUUAUCAUUAUACUUUAUCUGUAAGCUGAAAACAAAUGCACCGUUGUGGUCUGCAGUCAGCUCUUCCUUUCUCACACACACACACACACACACACACACACACACACACACACACACACACACACACACACACACACACACACACACACACACACACACACACACACACACACACACACACCUCUGCUGGAGUUCAGUUAAUAGUAAAGCCUUUCCUACAGGUAUUGCCACCUGUCUAAGUCACCCCUAAAGUCAUAGGUAGCAACAUAACUGUGCCAGAACAGCACAAGCCCAAGAACUAUGCACUGAGUAGGCUAGCUAAACACAAAAGAUAGCGAGGAGGCAGCCUCUUCUCACUAGAUUACUCUCACACAAACAUAUGCUACAAUGCUUUUGUCUUCUAAAUAACGAUAAGGCGUAAAUUAUCAUUUUCAUAUUUUGUCAAACUAAGGAAGCCAGUGAUCUUGCCCUCUCGUGCUAUACAAAACAAUUAAAGGCAUAUGUAAUUUAAAAAAAAAUCUAAAACAAUUGUUAAAAACAGCACAGCAAAUCAAGUCCAUAGUAAACCAAACACACAGACAAAAAAGACAAUGAAAGAUUAGGCGCUUCAGUCUGUUUCCCCUAGUAACAGCACAAACGGGGACUGUCCAAUAGGAGCACCAGAGCAAGCCCCUCCCACUCAACAGACCACACCCACACGUGAUGGCUACAGGUGUCUGUGAUUCAUGCACCAAGGGGGUGCGGUCUAAGUUUUUGGUCUUGAAAGUUUUUCAAAAUUGCUAUGAUUAAUAAAAAAAAACAUUUUUUUGUCUUUUGAAUAUAAGCAUGACAAAACACCACAUUCAGUCUUGAUAACAUACUAGUUCAAAUAUAAAAUAUGAAUAUCUUACAUGUGUUGUGUAUAUAUAUAUAUAUAUGUAUAGAAUGAAGAGAGAAAAAAAGCUUUUUUUCUCUUAUUCUUUAGUCGUUCCGCAGAUAAAUAUUUCAUUAACUUCCAAUGGUGCCAAUGGACACUGGUUCACCUAGCUACCGCACUUCACGACUGGUGAAUGACUACAAACAGGACUACAAAUAGAACGACAAGUCCCAUUCGGACAGAACACCAGCCAAGUGAGCAGCAUGGAGACAUCAACCCAGCCGCAGAGAGAAAGGCUUUCGCUUUGCUUUGGCAAGAAGGAUCACAAAAUAAUGUUAAACUGUUAAAACCUGGAAAUACCCAUAAGUAGUAGUACUAGAAAACAGCAGUAGUAGUUUGUCCUAGUUUGAGAUAACGAUAACUCUUUUUUGCCAUCUUGUACAAUUCAGCCAUACAGUUCUUGUACAUUCUAUAAUAUUCAGCGGGUGUCAGAUUUCUUAGAGAACCUAAUGUCUAAGUGCUGCUGAGGUAUUUAGUCAAAGUAAUUCACGGGUGAAAAAGGAGCACAAAAACUGAACAGCGUGGAGCCAAUUCUCUGCUUUCAAACUAGGCAGUCAUUAAUCUGGUUAUGUUAGGGCCGACAGAACAACACUAUUGCUGUGUGCUGAAAAGGGGCAGUUCGAUAAGGGCAGCACAGAGGCUACGCUGCUUGGUUACAGGUCAGGAUCUUGGUCCGAAACGUCUUUACUGGUGCUGCCAGUGGAUGAGCUCCCCAUAGUAAAGCUAGCUGGGCAUUGAGGGUAAGGAGAGAAGGCUUCAACCACAAGAAAUCGAGACCUGCUAACAGGAUGUGGUCACAAAGCCAGAAGAAGAAAACACGAAGAACAUUUGCCUCCAUUCUAAGUUAAAGCAGCUGGUCAUUAAAGCCAAAAUAUCCUUGUUCCUUAGAAGCGGGUUAGAGGUGGGGGAUGCACACAGGUGGGUUUAAGAGGAGAAAACUUGUCAGUAGUAGUAUUAUGUAAAAUAGUGAUCGUGUGAACAGCACUUGCUGGCUCACACAGGCACAGCAGCUAGUGAGAAAACGACUUUGGUUCAAGCUUUUUAUUUCAUGGCUGAGGAUUAGUAGAAAAACUCAAAAUGGACAGCCCUUACCAGACUAUUGAAAGCCUGACUACAGUCCAAACUGUUGCCCAUCGGAUAUGCCAGUCUAGAAAGGGUCCGGACAGUCUGCCAUAUCAUCAUAGGUGGAAACAUGUAGAGAAACGAGACCGAGCCUAGAGGAUAAGCACCCAUUGAUAUCAUAUAACCGCUACCAUUCAAACCUAAACACCCCUCAAAUAUAUGAACAUUAUUCAGGGAGACACCUGACCUCCCAUCUUCCCAUCCCUUUCUUUUUGGUUAUUUGCCCUGCUACUUUAAAGCUGAGCUGGGAGAGCCAUAGUCAAAUUUAAAAAUACGUUUGUCUUUGGAAAGUGAUCAUCAACAUAUUGCAUUUCAUCUCCUGUUGUGUGUGUAGAGAGAGAGAGAUUUUGUACUCAUAAAUAUUAGGACUAGGCUAAGCUACACUGACAAUAAACAGCACUAGUUUUAACAAAUAUUUUUGGUAUAUUUGAAGUAAGCCAGUCAAAAGACUGCAGAAAUAAAGGACCAUAAAACAUGUUAGAAAACAUGACAGAAUGUUUAAGUCUUUCAAAACAGGCAGACUGCAGUUCAUUGGUGGCAUUAAAAAAACAAUGGCAUUAAAAAAAAUGAAAAAUAUCUCAGCAAAUAUACACAACGUCCCCAUCUACCGCACACCAACGUCAUCCAGUUGGCAUGGCAACCAUACAGACAGCCCGUCAGAGAACACUCAGUCACAGAACUCCAUGUAUCAUACAGCUAACUGAGGCAUCUGUAUUUGCCUGAGCUGUAAAGGUCACAACCACUUAGCCCCUAUACUGC
ensembl:lncRNA